UCCUGGGCGCAGAGACGCCUGCAGCUUCGGGCGGCAUCCGGCGAACCGUUCGGAGGGGCCCAGGCGGAAGGCACGAGGCCACGCGGAGACCCGGAGGCGUCACGAGCUUCUGGCCCCAGGGACGUUGACGGGAUGGCAGAGCGGCCGUCGAGGUAGAGAUGCCAACCCAGGGGCUGGAGGAUCCGGGAGGCUGGAGAAGGCUGCGUGUCUGGACGCUACGUGCCUGGGUGUCGGGCCUGGGUCCCCAGCUGGGCAGGCGGCCUGGGGGCGCAGAGCACAGACCCCUCAGCAGCCACCAGAUUCAGGAUUCCAUCUGGGGCCGGAAGCUGAUGUCUGAUGGAGGCUCUCCAGGUGGGGUCUCUGCUGUCCCUCCUUGGGCCCUUCUCUGGGCUUCAAGGGCCGUUUGAUUCCAUUUUAAGCCCCUGUGCUGGCUGUCACGUGGGGACAGCUCACCAGACUUUAGUUUCCAUCUUGUGUGGGGAGGCAGAGCAUGGGGCUGCCUGAUGCUCUCGGGUGGAGAGGAUGGGGUUCAGGCAGGGUGGGGGGCAUGCUGGGGCCCAUCUGUUUGUGGGGUGGCACCCAGUGAUUGCAGCCGGCCCUGUGGGGCAUUGUAGCACAAGCAUGUGGAAAAAGGCACGUCGAGCACGCAGGCGUGGCGGCGUGGAAGGGGCCUGUGCCUGCCCCCAGGCUGGGCUUUGCUGGACUUGGCUGGUGGAUGCUGUGGGGUCUCCUGUGGAGGCGGGGCACUCUACCCCCCAAUGUACAAAUGAGGAAACUGAGGCUCCCAGAGAGUGCUUCUCAGCUAUGCAGUCGCAGUUCUGGGCCAGACGCCCACUUCCCAGGAACCUCUUCUCCAGGGCCCUCCUGACCCGUCCUGGCCCUAAUCCCGGCUGAUCAGUCCAUCUGUCACUGCCCCCAUCCUGUCCCGCCCUGGGACUCACUGUGCUGUGUGGUCAAUGUGUGUAUUUUAUUUUUGGUGUUUUUCAGAAUGCAUAGUGUCACAGUUAUUUUAGAUCAGUAUUAGCAGUGUGCUAAUGCUGUGGUCUGCAGACCCCUUUCCACGCUGACCAAUUGUCAGGGACCCCAAAGAACUGCUUGGGAGCAGUGUGUCUAGUGGUUUUAGAGCCGCUUGUACCAGCUCGGGAGAGCUCACAGAUCUCCAGUAAUUCUGUAAACUGGUUGUAGGCACAGCCACUAUUAGAAUAAAAUGACAUUAAUUAAACUACGUAAAACAUAAUUAUAUAGAAAACAAGCUAAUAAUAAACACUCAAAACUUACUGAUUCCUAGUUACUCAUGUCUUACAUUAUGUGUACUCUUAUCUAGAGAUGGUUUGCCUCUGUUUACCUGGUGGAGAUCCGGG